AAUUUUCCGCAAUGGGCGAAAGCCUGACGGAGCAACGCCGCGUGAGGGAAGAAGGCCUGUGGGUUGUAAACCUCUUUUCUCUGGGAAGAAGAUCUGACGGUACCAGAGGAAUAAGCAUCGGCUAACUCCGUGCCAGCAGCCGCGGUAAGACGGAGGAUGCAAGCGUUAUCCGGAAUUAUUGGGCGUAAAGCGUCCGUAGGCGGUCGUUCAAGUCUGCUGUUAAAGACUACAGCUCAACUGUGGGAUGGCGGUGGAAACUGAGUGACUAGAGUGCGGUAGGGGUAGAGGGAAUUCCCAGUGUAGCGGUGAAAUGCGUAGAUAUUGGGAAGAACACCAGUGGCGAAGGCGCUCUACUGGGCCGCAACUGACGCUGAUGGACGAAAGCUAGGGGAGCGAAUGGGAUUAGAUACCCCAGUAGUCCUAGCUGUA
rnacentral:rRNA from 1 species